AUAUAUAUAUAUAUAUAUAUAUAUAUGAACAUAUCUUCUUAGAAACAUCUUAUUAUUAUCUUAUUUCCCACUUUAUACACCUUGAAAUUGGGUGCUUUGAAGGCUUGUUUUGCCCAAAGAGGUUUGAAGCUCAACUCAACAAGUACAACACCAGCUAGAGGGUCACCAAGCAUGUCAGUUUCUCCCCUGGAAAUAUCGCCAGAAAACUCAUGCUUGUCUUCGGAACCCGGAGAUGAAAAGGAGGAGGAGUUGGAGGAGGAGUCAGUGGUGACGAUGCGGUACCGUCCUGAAGUAACGUCAAUGCUGCUAGUGGGAUGCCCUCGUUGUCUCAUAUAUGUUAUGUUAUCCAAAUUUGAACCUAAAUGCCCUCAAUGUAAGAGCACUGUCUUGCUUGAUUUUCUUGAUGAAGAGACUGCUAAAUGGGCAAGCAAUUGAAUGAAGGCAACUCUCUAGGAUUUUCGUUCUUUUUCCGGGAAUACGGUACGGUAAGGGUUGCAGAUAUCGAAAGUCAAACUUAUUGAUUUUAUGGAAUGUGAAGUUAAGUAUGAUUACGUGAACUAAUUGAAAUAAAUCCCGGAUUCUAGGGCUUUUUUUUUUUUAAGUUUUAUCUUAAUCUUAUAUUUUUAUUGGUCAAAUUGUAGUUAUAGUCCCUAGAGCUUUAAUUCCAUAUAAUUUAAUUUCUGUACUUUAUAACCUUAUUAGUGUUUUUAAUUAAUUUAAGUACAACAUAUUUUCUUUAAAAA